CAAUUUCCUAUCUCUUAUUUUCAUUUUCAUUCAUUUUCUACUAAAUAUUCUUCUCCCUUAUCUUUUCCUUAAACAAACUUGAAAAAAAAAAACACCUUGGAUGAACCUGUGCUUGUGCUGACACUAUUUUUGAGUCCUCUUUCGCUAUUUUCGAGCCCGCUCCGUUCUGAGCUGUGUUACGGCAACAAAAGUUUGAAGUUUUAAUUGGCUUAAUUGUUAGUAUUAGCAAAUGAGGAUAAGGAUUUAUGUUUGGUAACUUCACUGGGCAAAAGAUAUACUUAUUCACCUUUAUUUGUCUUUUAAACAAUUAUCAAAUACUAAUAGUUAAAGAACUUGGAAAUAAUCCAAAAGUUUAUAUUUGGGAUGGGCAAGAACCAAACCCACAAAUGGGGCAUCUAGCUUGGGCCGAUGCAUUUGUUGUCACAACAGAUUCAGUUAACAUGAUAAGUGAAGCUUGCAGCACUGGGAAGCCUGUGUAUGUUAUGGAAGCUGAGCGUUGCAGAUGGAAGUUGACAGAAUUCCACAAAUCAUUGAGAGAACGAGUUGUAUUAAAAUAAUAUUUGUAUAUAUUUUCUUUCAAUGGGCUGCUAAUAAUAUAUGAUGUUUAGGUUCAUUGUUAAACCAUCGCCACGAUACUGCUGAUCCCGAAGAAUGCGCUAUUCAAGAUGCGCAGAUCGCUAGCACAACAAGUCCCAACGGCAAGGCCGAAGCUACUCCACCGAUCGCCGAUGAUUCUUUUUGCCAAUCACACUUUUCUCACUUUUAUUAUUUGUUUAUUUUUAUUUUAAUUAUUUUAUUGUUAUUGUUUUGUGAUGUAGAGGUUCUACACUGACUGUGGUGCAGACUCUUGUCUCAAUCCGCACAAAAUGUUCGGUACCUUAUGCAUUAAUAAUAAUAAAAUAAUCUUGGUUCAUACUUCAUGAAAUUCUUUGGCACCUUAUGCAACAUUCCUUCAUUUUCGCUCCUGUCUUUAGAUGAUGUGGAUCAAAAGGCAAUAAUAAAAUUGUAGGCAAUGGAAGCCAGAUUAUUUAGAGAGGAAAGGAGCCAUGACUGUAGCAUUGAUGCUAAUAGAUUGCAUGCACUGAGAUACUUGCUUCUCUAGCUGCUUCUGCAAGUGCUUCUUUGUCCAAGGGGAUUCUUAGAAGCUGCAUUUGAACUCCUCAUUUGCUGUAAGAAGACCUUUUCAACUUCUAAUCUUCCUAAGUUCUCAUGAAAAGAUGAUGUGGAGGUUGACGAUGCCCCUGAAUUGAGGUUUAAUAGUUUUUUGAUUUUUUGGCCAGUGAACCAUCUUUUGUAAAUAAAUCAUAAUGGUGAGGAAGUAGUGACAAAAGAGUGUGGUUUUUGAUGGAUAUAUCCCUCUGAAGAUGAAGAAGUAGGGAAACUCAUAAAUUAGAGGCUAAUGCAAUAACAAUUCCUCCAACAAAGAAACUUAACAACAUGACUUUGGAAGUACUCCAUCCAAUAUAAAAGCAAAAGAUACGGAAGUGUUGAGGAAUUUAUUUGAAGAACUCUUGCACAUUGAAUUUGGAGGAAAACUCAUACUAUGAAGAGGUGAAAUUUCAGUAGACCUGUUUUAAAGAAGGACAACCGUGCAAAUCCGCUACUACCAUGAUAAUUUGCAAGAGCUCUUCUAACUUUUUUAUUUUAUUGUUUCAAUUUUUUUUACUUAGUCAAUAAGUGAUUCCUACACUUUUUGUGCAAAUAGUUUGUAAUCCAAGGUUAUUGGAAUCUUGGUAACAUUAUUUUUUGUUAGAAUGAAGAUUAUUUUUUAUAUUUUGCAUAUAAUAAAAUCUAUUAGCUAUGUAAAGUUUAUGUUUUCUUAUGUAUGAUCAGUUUAGUCAACCUGUAGUAGGAUAAAUUUUAUAUACUAGGUCAGUCUUCUCCAUACGUUUUUGCUUGUAACAUUGUAUUUUUCACCAAAAAGAAGUCUCAUGUAUGUAUGUUGAAAAUUUUGGAACAUUGAAUACACUCUCAUUACA